rnacentral:rRNA from 1 species
GACGUAGGGCGCGAGCGUUUGUCCGGAUUUAUUGGGCGUAAAGAGCUCGUAGGCGGCUUGUCGCGUCGACCGUGAAAACUCGCAGCUCAACUGCGAGCCUGCGGUCGAUACGGGCAGGCUAGAGUUCGGGUAGGGGAGACUGGAAUUCCUGGUGUAGCGGUGAAAUGCGCAGAUAUCAGGAGGAACACCGAUGGCGAAGGCAGGUCUCUGGGCCGAUACUGACGCUGAGGAGCGAAAGCGUGGGGAGCGAACAGG